rnacentral:rRNA from 1 species
GAUGAACGCUGACAGAAUGCUUAACACAUGCAAGUCAACUUGAAUUUGGGUUUUUACCUUGGGUUUGGUUGGCGGACGGGUGAGUAACGCGUAAAGAACUUGCCUCCCAGCUAGGGCCAACAUUUGGAAACGAAUGCUAAUACCUAAUAUUAUGAUAAUAGGGCAUCCUAUAAUUAUGAAAGCUAUAAGCGCUGUGAGAGAGCUUUGCGUCCCAUUAGCUAGUUGGAGAGGUAACGGCUCACCAAGGCGAUGAUGGGUAGCCGGCCUGAGAGGGUGAUCGGCCACAAGGGGACUGAGACACGGCCCUUACUCCUACGGGAGGCAGCAGUGGGGAAUAUUGGACAAUGGACCAAGAGUCUGAUCCAGCAAUUCUGUGUGCACGAUGAAGUUUUUCGGAAUGUAAAGUGCUUUCAGUUGGGAAGAAAGAAAUGACGGUACCAACAGAAGAAGUGACGGCUAAAUACGUG